UACGUAGGGUGCAAGCGUUGUCCGGAAUUAUUGGGCGUAAAGAGCUCGUAGGCGGCUUGUCGCGUCGACCGUGAAAACUCGCAGCUCAACUGCGAGCCUGCGGUCGAUACGGGCAGGCUAGAGUUCGGUAGGGGAGACUGGAAUUCCUGGUGUAGCGGUGAAAUGCGCAGAUAUCAGGAAGAACACCUAUGGCGAAGGCAGCUCUCUGGGACGGUACUGACGCUGAGACGCGAAAGCGUGGGGAGCGAACAGG
rnacentral:rRNA from 1 species